AUAAACACCAAGAAUUAGUGACCCUUUACCAGACAGUUUUACAGGCAAUGGAGACGGAUGGUGAAGAAAAGCGUUCACUUGUCCUUCCCUCUAGGAGUGUCCAUAAGGCUGGAUAUUGGAUGGAUACUCACCCAAAAGGCCAGCAGCAAUGGAUCACGAGGCAAAGAGCAUCGCAGCGAGUACAAUGAUGGAGAGCACGAGAGGGGUGGAGUCAGUGACAAGUUGCUAUGACAACAUAUGAUGGAGGAGGUACAAGGUGACACUGUGGAGUUUGCUUACAACCCAUUGGACGUCUUUCACUGCAGAUAACAAUCAAUAUUUCCUAAGUACCGCCGCGUGCAGAGUGUGACUCUUUCCCCCAUCAGAACUGUGAUCUGAGCAUGUCAUGUGAUAGGCCUUGUCUAGAGCUACAGAAUGCAUCUCUUAGUUUUGAUAUUGAUUGCUUUUUAGUGAAGUUAUGACCUCCCAAA